GAUGAACGCUGGCGGCGUGCUUAACACAUGCAAGUCGAACGGAAAGGUCAGUGCUUGCCCUGUCACUCGAGUGGCGAACGGGGGAGUAACACGUGGGGGAUCUGCCCUGCACUGCGGGAUAAGCCUUGGAAACUGGGUCGAAUACCGGAGAUGACAAUGGUUUGGAUGCGGUUGUGGAAAGUUUUAUCGGUUUGGUAUGAGCUCGCGGACUAUCAGCUUGUUGGUGGGUUAAUGGCCUACCAAGGCGUCGACGGGUAGCCGGCCUGUGAGGGUGUACGGACACAUUAGACCCGAGAUGCAGGCCACAGUAGUACGGGAGGCAGAAGGGGGGAAUGUUGGACAAUGCGCGGCAGCGUGAUGGAGCGACGUCGCGUGGGCGAUGAAGGCUUUUAGGUUGUAAGAACAUAUCGCUAGGGACCAAGCCUAUUCGUGACGGUACCUGGACAAGAAGCACCGGCUAACUACGUG
rnacentral:rRNA from 1 species